UAUUUUUGCAAAGAAAAUAAUAAUUCAUUGUCUUUUCUUGUUUUAUUUUUAAAUUUCAUGACACGCAAGUUUCUGUUACUUUUCGUUUUGGUUAGUCAGUAAAACAAAUUUCCUACACUCCAACGAAACCUAACCUCACAAUAUAUUCAAACGAAAUGUCAAAAUAAAUACAUCAACUACAAGAGAAUAGAUUUUAUACAUUACUUCCAAUGAAAUCUAUGAAACAAAAAAUUGUAUGUAAUGUAUGAAAAAAAAUUUAAUGUAUGAUGUAUGUAAUGUAUGUGAUGUAUCAUCUAUGAAAUAGGGCUCCCCUUCAAGCAAGAAAACGGAGUCCAGAAAAAACAGUCCGACCUCCGACCGCGAAAAGCGGGGUUGCACUCACACACUUGCAACUUUUUGCGUAUGAACACAAAGUCUAAGAGAAUCGUGGUGAAAACUGAGAAAAGGAAAAAAAAGUAGACAGAGACAUAGCCAACAAGAGCAAAAGCGUCAUUUUGUUAUUUUUUGUUGAAGUGUUUAGUCGCGUCGUGUCUCGUGUCGUUGUUAAUAAAAUAUAAGUAUAAUUAUAAACAAUUAUAUCAAACUAUUAACAAUUUGGAAACAAAAAAAGAUGUAAUCUCUAAUGAUGAAGAAAAAGGCAGAAGGUGAAACAUGCGAUUGGGCAUCUGAAGAAACACCAACAACAGCAGCAACAACAAAUAAAUAAAAUGAAAAAAAUGUAUUGUAUUUAAUAUUGUAUAUAUUGUGAAAAUUUCGUUUGCCAAAAUUAAAUAAAAAAAACAGUUUCAGUGAAAAAAAAAUCUAGUUCUUUUUUUGGUCGCAAAUGCGAAACGUCAUCCCUUUUUUAUUCCUCUUUCUGGUAGGUUUUCGCUGCUCCGACUCAGGUCCGCCUUCGGCUCCGUUUUCUCGGAAUGGAGAUUCUCACCACACCAAUACAUAUGCAAUCGACUUCGCGGUGAUUAUAAUUUCCAUACUAAUUUGAGCCGCCUUCGGACCAGUUUCUGAUCCGAAGUCGGACUCAGCUCCGCCUCAGGCGGAGCGGAUUCGGACCGAGGUCGGACCUCUUUGCUUGAAGGGUCUGGAGCAAAUGCAAUCAAUGCGAUCUGGGCCCUAUUUCAUAGAUAAUACAUCACAUACAUUACAUACAUCAUACAUUAAAAUUUUUUUCAUACAUUACAUACAAUUUUUUGUUUCAUAGAUAUCAUUGGAAGUAAUGUUUAAAAUCUAUUCUGUUGUAGUUGAUGUAUUUAUUUUGACAUUUCGUUUGAAUGAAUUGUGAGGUUAGGUUUCGUUGGAGUGUAGCAAUUUUUUUUACUGACUAACCAAAACGAAAAGUAGCAGAAACUUGCGUGUCAUAAAAUUUAAAAAUAAAUCAAGAAAAGACAAUGAAUUAUUAUUUUCUUUGCAAAAACACAAAAUAUAUUAUGUGCAUAUUCCUUAUGAUUAAAUUAUGAAUACAAAACUCCCAUUUUUAUACUUUUAUUAAGUAAAUAAAUUUUGUUUACAACAAAAAGACUUGCUGUAUGAAAUGUAUGAAAAGUUCACACAAAAUGUACUAAAAUGAUGUAUGAUAAAUUUCUAUGAACAGUAUAAUACAACAUUGGAAUACUUCCAGUCGAUUCUCCGUUCAUACACUGAUGUAUGACAGUUCUUCAUACAACAUUUCUAUGAAACAGAAAUAAUACAUCAGAACUGUCAAUAUCAAACAAUGUAUGUAAUGUAUUAUCUAUGAAACAGGCCCCACAACUGUCAAUAUCAUACAAUGUAUGUAAUGUAUUAUCUAUGAAAUAGGCCCCUGCUCUGAAGCAGAUCACAAUUUUAACAAUUUUUAUGAGGCUGACAAGUUGUGAGGGAACGCCAGAAUACGAAAAACCUCACAAAAUCAAACUCACCACACCUUAUGAGGUUCUUGUGACUGUGAUCUGUGAGGUUUUGUAAGAAUACGAAAAAGUCACAAAAAUUUGUUCAACUCGAGUUGUGAGGUUAUUGUGACUUGUGAGGCAUCAAUGAGGUUUGCCAGAAUAGGGGUAUAAAUAGUAAUAAACACGCGAUCCACUGCAGUACAGUAGAGGAUCAUAAAAAAAUUAGAAUUUUGUU